UCGAAUUUUUAUGGAGAGCAAUAUAAAACAACGAUUUGAGGAUAGGCAGUUUAGAGGACGCCUUAUUGGCGAUUCGGGCUACCCUCUUCUGCCAUAUCUAUUUACACCUAUUUUAAGGCCUAGUCGUCCAGAAGAAGAAGCAUACAAUAAUGCUCACAUCUCAACUAGGAACACUGUUGAAAGGUGUUUUGGGGUGUGGAAGCAGCGGUUCCAAUGCCUACUCCAUGGCUUACCAGUAAGCCUCCAAAAUGGAAAAGCUGUGAUCAUAGCAUUGGCUGUAUUACAUAAUAUAGCCAUUGAUAUGAAUGACACAUUGUUAGAACAACAUAUGGAGCAGGUCCCUGUAACUCCGCAACUUUCGACGGAGAACAGUGUUCACGACAACCGACCUUCAUUGUUGAGGCGUAGGUCGCAGUUGAUACUACAAAAUUUUAUAAAUCAACAUUUUUGAAUGAUACUGUUCCUGGCAUCUUAAUGAAAAUAAAAAGAAUAUUUGAUUGAAAAA